rnacentral:lncRNA from 1 species
AGCAUUAAUUAGCUCCCAUUCAGUGAUUAAUUUCAUUACUGUGUUCGAAUUUUUACUAUUGUCUUGACGCGUGUUUCGAAGACAGAUUUUUAUCAAGGUAACAACAUUUACGUUGUAUAAUGUAGAAAUUAUGUUUCGAGUUGCAAGUUUCUGUUUUAUAAAUAACAAUUUUCAUAUUUUCCUAGUAUUUCUGACGUCAACAACAGGCGGAAAAUAUUCACCUCUAGGCGCAUUUCUUUCAUUUUAAUUAGACAUCCGAAAUUAACCAUUGUCAUCAUUCUAAACUAAGAAACAAAAAAACAUUGUUAGUAUUGAUUCUUUGUUACGUUAUUCUCAAACUUUCAUCAAAUUUUUUAAUAUACAAAGCGAGGUGGAAGAAAACGAGUAUUUUCCAGCAAUCGAUAGGUAAUUUCCAAUCAUUUAAACACCCAAACCGCAGACAAUAAUAACUCGUCUUUAAAUCAUUAACUUUAGGUAUAGUUUGGUGGCACGAUGCAGCCGGAGGGACGAUCCUCACGAGUGGGAUGAUGUGUGGAAAUAUGUUGAAUGCCUUCAGAAUCCAGUCGAAACCUUGAACUUUAUUAUAAAGGAAAAAAAAACAAUUUGAUUAUAAUUCUAAUUGCGGUAAAAGGACGUCGAGCGUAUCUAAGUAUAGCCAGUUUUUGCAGUUGUACUAGUAAGAGAAACGAGCCGCAGCCAUCUAAACCCACUGAUUUGAUAUUUAUAUCCUCUCCUACUCCAUUCUCUAUCCGAUUCGGGAAUUUUCUUACUCCCAUUGUAGUAGUCACUCGACAAAUACGUAACGUUUAGCAUAAAAACCGGCUUAAGAUUUGAUGAUGCAAAAUUCAAAACAGUUC